rnacentral:rRNA from 1 species
UACGUAGGGUGCAAGCGUUGUCCGGAUUUAUUGGGCGUAAAGAGCUCGUAGGCGGUUUGUUGCGUCGGCUGUGAAAUCCCGAGGCUCAACCUCGGGUCUGCAGUCGAUACGAGCAAACUAGAGUGUUGCAGGGGAGACUGGAGUUCCUGGUGUAGCGGUGAAAUGCGCAGAUAUCAGGAGGAACACCGGUGGCGAAGGCGGGUCUCUGGGCAACAACUGACGCUGAGGAGCGAAAGCGUGGGGAGCGAACAGG